rnacentral:rRNA from 1 species
UACGUAGGGGGCAAGCGUUGUCCGGAAUUAUUGGGCGUAAAGCGCGCGCAGGCGGUCCUUUAAGUCUGAUGUGAAAGCCCACGGCUCAACCGUGGAGGGUCAUUGGAAACUGGGGGACUUGAGUACAGAAGAGAAGAGUGGAAUUCCACGUGUAGCGGUGAAAUGCGCAGAUAUCGGGAAGAACACCCGUGGCGAAGGCGGCUCUCUGGGACGGUACUGACGCUGAGACGCGAAAGCGUGGGGAGCGAACAGG